CCUACGGGUGGCAGCAGUGAGGAAUGUUGGUCAAUGGACGAGAGUCUGAACCAGCCAAGUAGCGUGAAGGAUGACUGCCCUAUGGGUUGUAAACUUCUUUUAUAUGGGAAUAAAACGUUCCACGUGUGGGAUUUUGUAUGUACCAUAUGAAUAAGGAUCGGCUAACUCCGUGCCAGCAGCCGCGGUAAUACGGAGGAUGCGAGCGUUAUCCGGAUUUAUUGGGUUUAAAGGGAGCGUAGGUGGAUUGUUAAGUCAGUUGUGAAAGUUUGCGGCUCAACCGUAAAAGUGCAGUUGAAACUGGCAGUCUUGAGUACAGUAGAGGUGUGCGGAAUGCGUGGUGUAGCGGUGAAAUGCUUAGAUAUCACGAAGAACUCCGAUUGCGAAGGCAGUUCACUGGACUGCAACUGACACUGAGGCUCGAAAGUGUGGGUAUCAAACAGGAUUAGAUACCCUAGUAGUC
rnacentral:rRNA from 1 species